rnacentral:tRNA from 1 species
UCUAAUAUGGCAGAAUAGUGYAWUGRAUUUAAGCUUCAUAUAUAAAGAUUUAAUCUUUUAUUAGAA